AAUAGAUACCCCGGUAGUCCACCCCGUAAACGUUGGGAACUAGUUGUGGGGUCCAUUCCACGGAUUCCGUGACGCAGCUAACGCAUUAAGUUCCCCGCCUGGGGAGUACGGCCGCAAGGCUAAAACUCAAAGGAAUUGACGGGGACCCGCACAAGCGGCGGAGCAUGCGGAUUAAUUCGAUGCAACGCGAAGAACCUUACCAAGGCUUGACAUACACGAGAACACCGUAGAAAUACGGGACUCUUUGGACACUCGUGAACAGGUGGUGCAUGGUUGUCGUCAGCUCGUGUCGUGAGAUGUUGGGUUAAGUCCCGCAACGAGCGCAACCCUCGUUCUAUGUUGCCAGCACGUUAUGGUGGGAACUCAUGGGAUACUGCCGGGGUCAACUCGGAGGAAGGUGGGGAGUGACGUCAAAUCAUCAUGCCCCUUAUGUCUUGGGCUUCACGCAUGCUACAAUGGCCGGUACAAUGGGCUGCAAUACCGUGAGGGUGGAGGCGAAAGUCCCAAAAACGCCGGUCCCAGUUCGGAUUGAGGUCUGCGAACUCGGACCUCAU
rnacentral:rRNA from 1 species